rnacentral:rRNA from 1 species
GGUGGAUCAGUGGCGAACGGGUGAGUAACACGUGAGCAACCUGCCCCUGACUCUGGGAUAAGCGCUGGAAACGGCGUCUAAUACUGGAUACGAGUAGCGACCGCAUGGUCAGUUACUGGAAAGAUUUAUUGGUUGGGGAUGGGCUCGCGGCCUAUCAGCUUGUUGGUGAGGUAAUGGCUCACCAAGGCGUCGACGGGUAGCCGGCCUGAGAGGGUGACCGGCCACACUGGGACUGAGACACGGCCCAGACUCCUACGGGAGGCAGCAGUGGGGAAUAUUGCACAAUGGGCGCAAGCCUGAUGCAGCAACGCCGCGUGAGGGAUGACGGCCUUCGGGUUGUAAACCUCUUUUAGCAGGGAAGAAGCGAAAGUGACGGUACCUGCAGAAAAAGCGCCGGCUAACUACGUGCCAGCAGCCGCGGUAAUACGUAGGGCGCAAGCGUUAUCCGGAAUUAUUGGGCGUAAAGAGCUCGUAGGCGGUUUGUCGCGUCUGCUGUGAAAUCCGGAGGCUCAACCUCCGGCCUGCAGUGGGUACGGGCAGACUAGAGUGCGGUAGGGGAGAUUGGAAUUCCUGGUGUAGCGGUGGAAUGCGCAGAUAUCAGGAGGAACACCGAUGGCGAAGGCAGAUCUCUGGGCCGUAACUGACGCUGAGGAGCGAAAGGGUGGGGAGCAAACAGGCUUAGAUACCCUGGUAGUCCACCCCGUAAACGUUGGGAACUAGUUGUGGGGUCCAUUCCACGGAUUCCGUGACG